AUGACAAUAUUAGAAAAUGUAAAAAAUGAAAAUAUAAGAAAUGAAGUUUUUAUGCUACUAAAAAAACAUAACAAACAUUUCUUAAAAAAUAUAUUAGUUUUACAAUAUUAUAGAAAUAUGUUAAUAUAUUAUAAUAAUUUUAAAAAUUAUAAUGAAUAUUCGUUAAAAAAUUGUAUAUUAAAUACGCCAAGUAAGGUUAACUAUUUUUUGCGUAAUUUUUUGAAAUCUAUUCUUCCAUACUUUUGGAAUGAACUGCAGUUUAUAGAAAGAUAUAUUGACGUGUCUACUAAUCAGUUAGUCGCAUCAUCUGUAUGUCCAAAUCACCUAGAACAGACGUUUGUUAAAGGACGUACUAACACAGGAUUCAGUAGUGGUGGAGAGCAGAACAAUACGAAAGAAAAAGACAAAGAUUAUAUUAUCAAACAAAAUGGUAAUACGAAUGCUUUAUCUAAAGUAACUCCUGCUAAUAUAUUUUAUUAUAUGAAUGAAAUAAAAAAAAAGAACAAACUUAAAAAGAUAGAAUCAUAUAUGAAUCAUAAUUUAACUUUAUAUGAUAUGAUUCAAUUUGUUAUAACUCUAUUAAAAAUUACAUAUUCUUUAGAUAUGAUUUAUGUUAAACCAUUGAAAAAUGAAAUAUGGAAUGAAUAUAUUUUAAAAUUUGAAAUAAAAAGUAACAAAUAUACUUAUGGUUAUAUAUAUAUGGACUUAUUCGAGAGAGAGAAUAAAAGUCAAGCUAUUGCUCAAUACACAGUUAGAUGCUCGAAAAAUAUGAACAUGAGUUUGAAAUAUAAAUGGUUUGAAGAAUAUUUUCAUAUGGUUCCUUUUUUUUACUCGGGUGUUGUAAAAACUGAAAUAGAUAAAGAUAUAAAUUCAGAUGGAUUAAUAUAUAGAAACGAUUUCGACACAAAUAAUACGAACAAGAUAGAUGGGGAAAAAGAUACGUUAUAUAGACAGACUACUUCGACAUUUUUGGUAUGCAAUUUUGGGUUAAAUGGGUGUAUAAGUAAUUGCGACAGUGGUAGUGGUGGUGGUGGUGGUAGUGACAAUGGAAGUAGCAAUGACGUAUUCCCAAAUGAUAAAAUAACAUACUUUUUAAAAAAUAUAAAAAUGAGCAUUGAUAAGGUAAGCAUGUUUCUUCACGAAUUUGGCCAUACACUACACUGCAUAUUAAGUAGCACAUAUUUACAACACUUGUCAGGUAACAGAAGUGGAAUCGAUUUUUCAGAAUUCUCUUCGCACUUUUUCGAAGAGUACUUAAAUAGUUAUGAAGCAUUAUUGUUGUUGUAUUGCAAGAGCAUACCACAUGAGCAAUCACAUAAGAAGUCGGAUAAUAACCCGCAUAAUAACCCGCAUAAUAACCCGCACAAUAACCCGNNNNNNNNNNAA
rnacentral:lncRNA from 1 species